AGGACGAACGCUGGCGGCGCGCUUAACACAUGCAAGUCGAACGGAGCUCUUCGGGGCUCAGUGGCGAACGGGUGCGUAACACGUGAGCAACCUGCCUGGUCGUGGGGGAUAACCAGUGGAAACGCUGGCUAAUACCGCAUGAGCUCUUGGGCUCGAUUGAGUCUUUGAGGAAAGCUCCUGCAAGGGAGUGCGACCAGAGGGGCUCGCGGCGUAUCAGCUAGUUGGAGGGUAACGGCCCACCAAGGCGAUGACGCGUAGCCGAUCUGAGAGGAUGAUCGGCCACAUUGGGACUGAGAUACGGCCCAGACUCCUACGGGAGGCAGCAGUGGGAAUCUUGCGCAAUGGGCGAAAGCCUGACGCAGCGACGCCGCGUGCGGAGGACGCUUUUCGGAGUGUAAACCGCGUGUCGGAGGGAAGAAAGUGUCUCGGGAGGAAAGUGCCCGGAUUUGGACGUACCGUCGAAAGGAAGCACCGGCUAACUCUGUCGCCAGCA
rnacentral:rRNA from 1 species